rnacentral:rRNA from 1 species
UACAGAGGGGCAAGCGUUAUUCGGAAUUAUUGGGCGUAAAGGGCGCGUAGGCGGCCUGACAAGUGGAAGGUGAAAUCCCUCGGCUCAACUGAGGAACUGCCCUCCAAACUGUUUGGCUUGAGACCGGGAGAGGUGAGUGGAAUUCCCAGUGUAGCGGUGAAAUGCGUAGAUAUUGGGAGGAACACCAGUGGCGAAGGCGGCUCACUGGACCGGAACUGACGCUGAGACGCGAAAGCGUGGGGAGCAAACAGG